GAUGAACGCUAGCGGCGGGCUUAAUACAUGCAAGUCGAGGGGUGGUAGCAAUACUACACCGGCGCACGGGUGCGUAACGCGUAUGCAAUCUACCUUUAUCUGGGGGAUAGCCCGGGGAAACCCGGAUUAAUACCGCAUAACAAAUUUCUUGGCAUCAAGAGAUUUUAAAAGAUUUAUCGGAUAGAGAUGAGCAUGCGUAAGAUUAGAUAGUUGGCGAGGUAACGGCUCACCAAGUCUACGAUCUUUAGGGGCUAUGAGAGGAGAAUCCCCCCACACGGGCAAGAGGACACGGGCAAGACUCCGACGGGAGGCAGCAGUAGGGAAUAUUGGGCAAUGGGCGCAAGCCUGACCCAGCCACGCCGCGUGCAGGAAGAAGGCCCUCUGGGUUGUAAACUGCUUUUGACUGGGAAGAAAAGACUCCUUGCGAGGAGAGUUGACGGUACCAGCAGAAUAAGCCACGGCUAACUACGUGCCAGCAGCCGCCGUAAGAC
rnacentral:rRNA from 1 species